AUACGUAGGUGGCAAGCGUUAUCCGGAAUUAUUGGGCGUAAAGAGGGAGCAGGCGGCAGCGAGGGUCUGUGGUGAAAGCCUGAAGCUUAACUUCAGUAAGCCAUAGAAACCAGGCAGCUAGAGUGCAGGAGAGGAUCGUGGAAUUCCAUGUGUAGCGGUGAAAUGCGUAGAUAUAUGGAGGAACACCAGUGGCGAAGGCGACGCUCGGACCCGCAACAGACCCCCAGCCCCGAAAGCGUGGGGAGCAAAUAGUAUUAGAUACCCUAUUAGUCUACGCCGUAAACGAUGAGUACUAAGUGUUGGAUGUCAAAGUUCAGUGCUGCAGUUAACGCAAUAAGUACUCCGCCUGAGUAGUACGUUCGCAAGAAUGAAACUUAAAGGAAUUGACGGGG
rnacentral:rRNA from 1 species